CGUAUGGUUCCUCCUCCAUUGGCUUUCGAAGUAUUGGAUGCUGUAAUGGAAAAACUUCCGGGAUUCCCUAUCGUUCUUCACGGAUCAUCUUCAGUUCCGGAAGAAGAAGUGGAAACUAUCAACAAAUAUGGUGGUGCACUGAAAGCUGCUAUCGGCAUUCCGGAAGAAGAAUUGCGUAAAGCUGCUAAGUCUGCUGUUUGCAAAAUCAACAUCGACUCAGACUCUCGUCUGGCUUUGACUGCUGCUAUCCGCAAGACUUUUGCUGAAAAACCGGCAGAAUUUGACCCACGUAAGUAUCUUGGUCCGGCUCGCGACAACAUGGAAAAACUGUAUAAGCACAAAAUCCUUAACGUGCUCGGUUCUGACAACAAGUUGGCACAGUAAUCUUCGGAUUAUUUCAUAAAUAAAAAGAAAGGCUGCUUCCGGUUGACGGUGGCAGCCUUUUUAGUUAGUGGUAAAACGCUGAUUUUAUUCUUUCUUUGUAGUCUCAGGAUUUCCAUUCUGAAAGAAAUCCUCUAUUUUCUGUUUGCUUUUCAGGUCUUUCAGCCAGUUGUCAGCAGCGUUAUAAUAAUUGGUUAUUCCUAAAACGAGUUCUCCCUUUUCAUUCAGUUUCGCCUGUUCUGCUUUCUCAUCUUUGGGACGUGUUUUUAGAAAUGCUUCCAGGUAGCGUUCUGUGCCUAUUACAAUUCCCAUAGUCUUAAAAUUUUGGCACAAAGAUAAAGUAUAAAUUCUUAUAAUAUGCCUUUCGGGCCUACCUAUUGAACAACUCAAACGUAAACUUAACCCCUACUUCCUGGUACUUCCAGUUUGCAAAGCUUGUAAAAACGCCGAAAUCGAAGAUGUGCGUACCGAUGCCAUACCCAAGCUCAAGAUAAGGAUUCAGGUGGGGAACCACCAGAGCAUUCAGAUACAACCGUUCAUUCAAUACGUAUUGAGUAUAUUUCUUCAAGUGGCGGAGCAGCAGGAAAGGAGCCUCGUACGUAAAAUGCCCGCGGAUGUACUUGCGGGACGAGUUAUACCAACGCCCGUCGAGCAACUGGAACACUCCGCCGAUUUCAUCAUUCCAGCCUACGGGAAGAUUGGAACGGGCCAGAUUGGCGAAAUCCACAAAAUAAAGCUCUUUCUGAUUCGUAAAAGCACCCCAGCCGAAGCGGUAGUAAAUGUCACGCAUCAAUCCCAACGGGAUGUUGUGCUGGAAGUCCACUUCAAUACGUUCGUACUUUCCGGUGCUGUGCAUGACACCGCUGAUACCGCGCUCCCAGUCUACGGAAACGGUGGGAUAUUUGGAAUGAAGGUUGAUUUUACGGUCGCCUCCGAAAGAGUAACGGAGGCGCCCAAAGGUUCCCUCAGCGCGGACGGAAACCGCGCGAAGAGUGCAAAGGCAGAAGGGAGCUUGACUGCGAGACGGACAGGUCGAGCAGGGACGAAAGUCGGGCUUAGUGAUCCGGUGGUUCCGCAUGGAAGUGCCAUCGCUCAACGGAUAAAAGCUACCCUGGGGAUAACAGGCUUAUCUCCCCCAAGAGUCCACAUCGACGGGGAGGUUUGGCACCUCGAUGUCGGCUCAUCACAUCCUGGGGCUGAAUUCGGUCCCAAGGGUUCGGCUGUUCGCCGAUUAAAGUGGUACGCGAGCUGGGUUCAGAACGUCGUGAGACAGUUCGGUCCCUAUCCAUCGCGGGCGUAAGAAACUUGAAAGGGGCUGCUCCUAGUACGAGAGGACCGGAGUGGACCGACCAAUGGUGUACCAGUCAUGGCGCCAGCCGUGCAGCUGGGUAGCUACGUCGGGGACGGAUAAACGCUGAAAGCAUCUAAGCGUGAAACCAGCCUAGAGAUGAGGUUUCUCAUUGUUUUAACAAGUAAGGUCCCACAAAGACGAUGUGGUUGAUAGGCCGGGAGUGGAAGUACAGCGAUGUACGGAGCGGACCGGUACUAAUAGACCGAGGACUUGACUU
rnacentral:rRNA from 1 species